UACGUAGGGUGCAAGCGUUGUCCUGAAUUAUUGGGCGUAAAGAGCUCGUAGGCGGUCUGUCGCGUCGGCUGUGAAAACCCGGGGCUCAACCCCGGGCCUGCAGUCGAUACGGGCAGACUAGAGUGCGGUAGGGGAGACUGGAAUUCCUGGUGUAGCGGUGAAAUGCGCAGAUAUCAGGAGGAACACCGGUGGCGAAGGCGGGUCUCUGGGCCGUAACUGACGCUGAGGAGCGAAAGCGUGGGGAGCGAACAGG
rnacentral:rRNA from 1 species